rnacentral:rRNA from 1 species
CAGCCGUAAACUAUGCUCGCUAGGUGUCAGGCAUGGCGCGACUGUGUCUGGUGCCGCAGGGAAGCCGUGAAGCGAGCCACCUGGGAAGUACGGCCGCAAGGCUGAAACUUAAAGGAAUUGGCGGGGGAGCACAACAACGGGUGGAGCCUGCGGUUUAAUUGGACUCAACGCCGGACAACUCACCGGGGACGACAGCAAUAUGUAGGCCAGGCUGAAGACCUUGCCCGAAUCGCUGAGAGGUGGUGCAUGGCGUAGACGUCU